rnacentral:tRNA from 1 species
CAAGAUGUAGCUUAAACAAAGCAUCUGGCUUACACCCAGAAGAUUUCAUAGCCGGCUGGCCAUCUUGAGCCAAGU